rnacentral:lncRNA from 1 species
GAAAUCAAGGGCGACAGGGGCAGACCAGCUGUCUUGCUGUUGCACUGAAAGAAAGAAAUGGUCAGCCUGUCCAGGGAUUCACCAGUCAGAAGAGCAAAAAUUCUUGACUGAUGGGAAAGUCUUCAGAGGAAGAGGGAUUCACAACGUGUCAUCAAAUUCCACGAUGCUGCUGAUGCAAACAGACUGUGAUGUACAGGAAGGAGAAGGAACACAAGGCAGCUAUCCCAUCAGUCAAUUAACAAAUUGGGUAUGUCCAAGACACACUACCAUGCUAGCAGCUUGAAGAAAGGUGAGAAGGAACUCGAAAAAAGGAAACUUCAUUAACACCAAUCUUUUUUAACCCCUCUUUACCCUUCUCAUGCUUUCCUCUGGCAUCAGUUACAUAGCUUAACACUAGUGGCCCUGGGAGGCUGUGCUUCACAGACAUCUGGAAGAAGAUAAUUAGGACAUUGAUUCGUUGUUUUCUAAUAGAGCCCUGACUUCAAUAGUUGAAUACCCA